rnacentral:rRNA from 1 species
UACUGGGGGGGGCAAGCGUUGUUCGGAAUUACUGGGCGUAAAGGGCUCGUAGGCGGCCAACUAAGUCGGACGUGAAAUCCCUCGGCUUAACCGGGGAACUGCGUCCGAUACUGGAUGGCUUGAGUUUGGGAGAGGGAUGCGGAAUUCCAGGUGUAGCGGUGAAAUGCGUAGAUAUCUGGAGGAACACCGGUGGCGAAGGCGGCAUCCUGGACCAACACUGACGCUGAGGAGCGAAAGCCAGGGGAGCAAACGGG